UCAGCCUACGGGAGGCAGCAGUAGGGAAUCUUCCACAAUGGACGAAAGUCUGACGGAGCAACGCCGCGUGAGUGAAGAAGGGUUUCGGCUCGUAAAGCUCUGUUGGUAGUGAAGAAAGAUAGAGGUAGUAAAUGGCCUUUAUUUGACGGUAAUUACUUAGAAAGUCACGGCUAACUACGUGCCAGCAGCCGCGGGAAUACGUAGGUGGCAAGCGUUGUCCGGAUUUAUUGGGCGUAAAGCGAGUGCAGGCGGUUCAAUAAGUGUG
rnacentral:rRNA from 1 species